UACGUAGGGGUGCAAGCGUUUAAUCGGAAUUACUGGGGCGUAAAGCGUGCGCAGGCGGUUUUGUAAGACUGUCGUGAAAUCCCCCGGGCUCAACCUGGGAAUGGCGAUGGUGACUGCAAGGCUAGAGUUUGGCAGAGGGGGGGUAGAAUUCCACGUGUGCAGUGAAAUGCGUAGAUAUGUGGAGGAACACCGAUGGCGAACGGCAGCCCCCCCUGGGGUCAAAAACUGACGCUCAUGGCACGAAAGCGUGGGGAGCAAACAGGG
rnacentral:rRNA from 1 species